CCUACGGGAGGCAGCAGUGGGGAAUAUUGGACAAUGGGCGAAAGCCUGAUCCAGCAAUGCCGCGUGAGUGAUGAAGGCCUUAGGGUCGUAAAGCUCUUUUACCAGGGAUGAUAAUGACAGUACCUGGAGAAUAAGCUCCGGCUAACUCCGUGCCAGCAGCCGCGGUAAUACGGAGGGAGCUAGCGUUGUUCGGAAUUACUGGGCGUAAAGCGUACGUAGGCGGUUAUUCAAGUCAGAGGUGAAAGCCCGGGGCUCAACCCCGGAACGGCCUUUGAAACUAGAUAGCUAGAGUCUUGGAGAGGUCAGUGGAAUUCCGAGUGUAGAGGUGAAAUUCGUAGAUAUUCGGAAGAACACCAGUGGCGAAGGCGACUGACUGGACAAGUACUGACGCUGAGGUACGAAAGCGUGGGGAGCAAACAGGAUUAGAUACCCUGGUAGUCCACGCCGUAAACGAUGAUAACUAGCUGUCCGGGUACUUGGUAUCUGGGUGGCGCAGCUACGACAUUAAGUUAUUCCGUCCGUCGGGUAGGUACGGUCGGCGACGAAUUAAACUAACUAAUAGUAAGUUAGUACGGCGUGAGACGUGCCGAACGGACGACCGACCGAGGGAGGUAGG
rnacentral:rRNA from 1 species